rnacentral:rRNA from 1 species
CAAUAGCGUAUAUUAAAGUUGUUGCAGUUAAAAAGCUCGUAGUUGGACUUCUGAUGUGGGACUGCGCCCCGGUAUUUUGCCGUUGGGUGCGGGCUCGCGUCUUCCUCUCGUAGUUGGAUGGUGCACUUAACUGGGUGCCUUCUGAAUAUGGGACCUUUACUUUGAAAAAUUAGAGUGUUCAAAGCAGGCCUAUGCUCUGAAUAGGUUAGCAUGGAAUAAUAAAAUAGGACUUUGGUUCUAUUUUGUUGGUUUCUAGGACCGAAGUAAUGAUUAAUAGGGACAGUUGGGGGCAUUCAUAUUCCAAUGUCAGAGGUGAAAUUCUUGGAUUAUCGGAAGAUGAACUUCUGCGAAAGCAUCUGCCAAGGAUGUUUUCAUUGAUCAAGAACGAAAGUUAGGGGAUCGAAGACGAUCAGAUACCAU